UGUUCUGUGGCCGAACUGGUAAAGGCAUUGCCGAUCACAGGCAACGUUGCGGGUUCGAGUCCCGCUGGAACGG
rfam:Operophtera brumata OBRT01_Sc04804, whole genome shotgun sequence.